GGCAAGGUGGGAGAGUGGUUAAUCCGUCAGCCUCGAAUUGGACAAUGUCCGGCUAGCUGAUCCCUUUGGGGUCGUCGGUUCGAAUCCGGCCCUUGUCG
rfam:Aspergillus terreus NIH2624 scaffold_1 genomic scaffold, whole genome shotgun sequence.